rnacentral:rRNA from 1 species
CACGUAGGGUGCGAGCGUUGUCCGGAAUUAUUGGGCGUAAAGAGCUCGUAGGCGGUGUGUCGCGUCGGCCGUGAAAACCUGCAGCUUAACUGUGGGCUUGCGGUCGAUACGGGCAUCACUGGAGUUCGGCAGGGGAGACUGGAAUUCCUGGUGUAGCGGUGAAAUGCGCAGAUAUCAGGAGGAACACCGGUGGCGAAGGCGGGUCACUGGCUCGGUACUGACGCUGAUGUGCGAAAGCGUGGGGAGCAAACAGG